UACGUAGGGUGCGAGCGUUAAUCGGAAUUACUGGGCGUAAAGCGUGCGCAGGCGGUUUUGUAAGCCAGAUGUGAAAUCCCUGGGCUUAACCUGGGAAUGGCAUUUGGGACUGCAAGGCUCGAGUGCGGCAGAGGAGACUGGAAUUCCUGGUGUAGCAGUGAAAUGCGUAGAUAUCAGGAGGAACACCGAUGGCGAAGGCAGGUCUCUGGGCUGACACUGACGCUCAUGCACGAAAGCGUGGGGAGCAAACAGG
rnacentral:rRNA from 1 species